rnacentral:rRNA from 1 species
GUCUAUGGCCAUGCCACCCUGAACACGCCCGAUCCCGUCUGAUCUCAGAAGCUAAUAAGCAGGGUUGGGCCUGAUUAGUACUUGGAUGGGAGACCACCUAGGAAGAUUUGGUGCUGUAGGCU